rnacentral:rRNA from 1 species
GUAGGUGGCAAGCGUUAUCCGGAAUUAUUGGGCGUAAAGCGCGCGUAGGCGGUUUUUUAAGUCUGAUGUGAAAGCCCACGGCUCAACCGUGGAGGGUCAUUGGAAACUGGAAAACUUGAGUGCAGAAGAGGAAAGUGGAAUUCCAUGUGUAGCGGUGAAAUGCGCAGAGAUAUGGAGGAACACCAGUGGCGAAGGCGACUUUCUGGUCUGUAACUGACGCUGAUGUGCGAAAGCGUGGGGAUCAAACAGGAUUAGAUACCCUGGUAGUCCACGCCGUAAACGAUGAGUGCUAAGUGUUAGGGGGUUUUCCGCCCCCCUUAGUGCUGCAGCUAACGCAUUAAGCACUCCGCCUGGGAGUACGACCGCAAGGUUG